rnacentral:rRNA from 1 species
UACGUAGGGUGCGAGCGUUAAUCGGAAUUACUGGGCGUAAAGCGUGCGCAGGCGGUUUUGUAAGCCAGAUGUGAAAGCCCCGGGCUUAACCUGGGAAUGGCAUUUGGGACUGCAAGGCUCGAGUGCGGCAGAGGAGACUGGAAUUCCUGGUGUAGCAGUGAAAUGCGUAGAUAUCAGGAGGAACACCGAUGGCGAAGGCAGGUCUCUGGGCCAUAACUGACGCUGAGGAGCGAAAGCGUGGGGAGCAAACAGGA